rnacentral:rRNA from 1 species
AUUGAACGCUGGCGGCAGGCCUAACACAUGCAAGUCGAACGAGUGGCGGACGGGUGAGUAAUGUCUGGGAAACUGACCGAUGGAGGGGGAUAACUACUGGAAACGGUAGCUAAUACCGCAUACCAUCGGAUGUGCCCAGCUGGGAUUAGCUAGUAGGUGGGGUAACGGCUAACCUAGGCGACGAUCCCUCGCUGGCCUGAGAGGAUGACAGGCCACACUGGAAUGGAGACACGGUCCAGACUCCUACGGGAGGCGGAAGUGGGGAAUAUCGGACAAUGGGCGAAAGCCGGAUGAAGCCAGGCCGGGUGGAUGAAGAAGGCCUUCGGGUUUAAAAGUACUUUCAGCGGGGAGGCGUUACUCACAGAGGAAGCACCGGCUAACUCCGUGCCAGCAGCCGCGGUAAUUC